GGGAGGGAGAGAGAGGGGAUUCUUCUGACAAGCACAAUUUACAUUGCGAUCGCCCUGCGCUGCUAUUUACUUUGAGACCUGAUUAGUAUGGGUCGUCUACGGUCUCUUCCUCCCUCUCUUUUCAAGAUCCCCCCCCCCCCCCCAUCAGCACACACAUCGACAGGGGAGGAUGCGUUGCGAUAGGCGGAAAGGGGGAAUUAAAAGGGGACGAUGUAGGCUUCCAGGGAAAAGUUGCUGUGAAAUCUGAGACUGGGAGCCGGCUGGAGAGGAGAAUCCUUCAUCAUUUCUGAGAUCAGAAAAAAACGCUUGAUUUUGUCCCGAAAUAAUGAAGAGAUUUUCAAUGAGUCCGUUGGCCAAGCCGUCCCUAUUGUAUAUUGCAUUGAUAAAAAGGAUGUUAUUGACUAUGCAACAGUAGGCUCCUUUCCUCUCUCCCCCUCUUUCCAAAUAAACUCCCGGUCCUGUCUCUUGGUCAGUGAAAA